GAUGAACGCUGGCGGCGUGCCUAAUACAUGCAAGUAGAACGCUGAAGGAAGGAGCUUGCUCUUUCCGGAUGAGUUGCGAACGGGUGAGUAACGCGUAGGUAACCUGCCUGGUAGCGGGGGAUAACUAUUGGAAACGAUAGCUAAUACCGCAUAACAGUAGAUGUUGCAUGAUAUCUACUUAAAAGGUGCAAUUGCACCACUACCAGAUGGACCUGCGUUGUAUUAGCUAGUUGGUGAGGUAACGGCUCACCAAGGCGACGAUACAUAGCCGACCUGAGAGGGUGAUCGGCCACACUGGGACUGAGACACGGCCCAGACUCCUACGGGAGGCAGCAGUAGGGAAUCUUCGGCAAUGGACGGAAGUCUGACCGAGCAACGCCGCGUGAGUGAAGAAGGUUUUCGGAUCGUAAAGCUCUGUUGUAAGAGAAGAAUGAGUGUGAGAGUGGAAAGUUCACACUGUGACGGUAUCUUACCAGAAAGGGACGGCUAACUACGUG
rnacentral:rRNA from 1 species